AGCAAAUUUACUUCCCCAACUCCUGAAUACUAAAGUGAGGAGAACAUUUUCCACCAAAUAUAACAGGGCUACUUUUAACACUCUUAGGAGAACACUAGUGCUAUAAACAAAAAAAAUACCCAUCAGAAGGGCUGUUUUUCAAACUUUUCCAAAUACCCUCAAAAAAGGUAUUUUUACAGGAGCAAAUACGUAUAUAGCUGAAUUAACAGUUUCAUGUAACAAACUAAUACUUUCUAUUUUUUUAGAAUUGUGAUCACCACCCACUAAAAGUGAUUUUAUGACCCAGUAAGCCAGCACCUACAGUUUGAAAUACUGGUUUCUAACUCUCACUAUUGAGCAAUUACAAUUAUUUAUAAAACUACCAUAUGUUAGCUAUUGAAAGAAAAGGUACACAAAUAUCUAGUGUACUGUAUUCUAAACCAAGACAUUCUAGUUAAUGCUAACCAUUCUACUCUCAAAAGAGUCCACAAGUUUCAAAACGAUACUUUUAACAACUGUGUACAGUACAUCAAGCACCUUCAAAAAAACCCAAACUUACAAAUUUUUAUUGCCUUAACUACAAUACUCUGAAUAUACUAUAAACUAAUCAGACUACUAUACAGCAGAAAAACGGAUAAAAAGUUACUGUAUUUUUCUGAACUACAUUUAAAUUUAGAACUUAACAUUACAUUUUCUUAAACUACUGCAUGAUUUUCAGGCCAAUAAAAAUAAACGAGGACUGCUAAAUGCGGUUUUAACUAGAAGUGCCAAAAAAGCGAUACAUUAUCAAUAAAGUUAAAAAAAGAAAAAUCAUUCAGUCUUCCGAUUUACUUUAAGAAUUUCACACUCACUAUCCCCAAUGCCCUGAUGCCGUUUGCCAACCCGCUCAUAAAUGGAAAGUCAAUUUUAAAAAGCCUAAGAGUUGAAAAAUGUGCCAAAAACACACCCUCAACUCUGACACACAAGGCAGGGGGCCAGUCCCUACUGUAAAAAUUGUAAAGACCGAAGGCCACUGCCAGCCAAGGACAUAAAGGUUACGCAUUCCUCACACUCGAGUCCUCCGGGAACGUUUAUCAGCCAGCCCGCUUGCAGGGUGUGCAGCCCAAAUCAGUGCUGGGGCCGCUGGCGGUCUCCCCGGCCCACAAACCUGAUAGCGGAAGCGACGUCAGGGGGACCUGGCGGCGCCCGCAGCCAGUUACGCCAAAGCAGGAGGAGAUGCUGGCCAAUGGGCACGGCGCGGGGGCGGGACUUCCCCCGCCCAAGUUUGAUUGAAGUGGGGGGAGGUGCUGGGUGAAGAAUGUGAAGAAUGACCCCUCCCCCCGUCCGUGAGGCGCUGGGCGGGAAGCGGAGGGGGUUGGGGCUGGACGCGCCACGCGGCGCCCAUCCCCCGCCCGCGCCGCCGCCUCCCGCGGCCUCAGCUCGCCACCCGCCAGCCCGGCCUGCUCUGGCCCCCAGGCCUCUCUACCAACCAGGCCGCCGCGGUCCCCUUUUCCCAGCUCCGCCAGGGGUCCGAGAGAAGAAAAAUGGCGACGGGCCCGCGCUCGCUGUCUCGCUUCUGUACCCACCUCAGGCUCGUGGAAGAGCCAACGGCCAGCCGCCGCCCUCCGCGGGGACAGCCCGGCCCCGGCGCUUGCCGCCCGCAGCCACCGGAAAGUCGCACGCGAAGACCCGGAUGGAGGUGCGGGCUGGCGGGCCGCGGCGGCCGGAGGGAAGGGAGCGCG
ensembl:lncRNA